GGAAUAUUGGACAAUGGGGGGAACCCUGAUCCAGCCAUGCCGCGUGUGUGAAGAAGGCCUUUUGGUUGUAAAGCACUUUAAGCGAGGAGGAGGCUACUUUGGUUAAUACCCAGAGAUAGUGGACGUUACUCGCAGAAUAAGCACCGGCUAACUCUGUGCCAGCAGCCGCGGUAAUACAGAGGGUGCGAGCGUUAAUCGGAUUUACUGGGCGUAAAGCGUACGUAGGUGGUCUUUUAAGUCGGAUGUGAAAUCCCUGAGCUUAACUUAGGAAUUGCAUUCGAUACUGGGAGACUAGAGUAUGGGAGAGGAUGGUAGAAUUCCAGGUGUAGCGGUGAAAUGCGUAGAGAUCUGGAGGAAUACCGAUGGCGAAGGCAGCCAUCUGGCCUAAUACUGACACUGAGGUACGAAAGCAUGGGGAGCAAACAGGAUUAGAUACCCGAG
rnacentral:rRNA from 1 species